UGUUGCUAAGAGACCAAGUGAGAGAGAGAUCCUACCCACUCAGAUUCCCCUACAAAUCCCAAUAUUCCUCCUGUUGCUACUCUCCAGCCCUACUGAGAUGCUGUUGAUGCAACCUUGGUAUCCAGCAGAUCCGUAUGGGUUUUAUGGGACAUUUUCUCCCACUGACCAGCGCUACUGAGAAAGUCCCAAAAUAGGAUACUGCAGUAGACAGCAUGUCAUUAGGGAAUUAGCACAGUUAUGGAUGCAAACUACUCUUGUGGGAAACCACCAAGGCCAGAGGAGAUUGAUUUCCUCCCUCCCCCCUAGAAUGCAGGGGAGUUUACUCUGACAGUACUUCUGGCAGGAGUCUCUCUCAAGCUUACAGAAAGGCUAGCAAACACCAAAUAAUAACAAAUCUUAUUGACAAGGGAAAAAUAUGGGGCACACCAGCUGCAACUUGCUGGAUUCUUAAUCCUCCAUUGAACUGGAGACACUGAUGAGUAUGUAUGGAGAGAGUUCAACCAUCACACCAAAGCCAUGGAAAUAUGCCAGUGAGCAUAUUUUGAGACACAGUCUCAAUAGUUUGACAUUAUUGAUCAAAGGUGUAUCCACGAUACCUUUGUACGUGCACAGAAAUCGCUUAGGUUGGAAAGCUUUCCCAGCUGAACAGGAGGAAUAAGGACAGUAGGAUAUGGAGACGGAGAGAAGACUAAAGAAAAAAAAGAAAAAGAAAAGAUUCAAGGUUAUGAACUGGCCAAAGAGCUCCAGAUUAAUUUUACAGACAGAGUAGAGCUUGGGGUACAGCAGCAAAACAACUUCUGAAGUACUCAUGGGAAUGCUGUUAAUAAAUAAAAGGAGCAAAGAGAUUUGGGACCAGUCUGUAGGAAACUGGGAAAAUACAAGCUUUUACAAAUUUAACUUUCCCCUCAUAAGAAAGACAAAUAGAUGGACAUCACCCUAAGAAAGGCACAACUAGAUGGCAAACUACCCAUCUGCUCAUGCCUUUGUCAACAGGGCUGAAGAGAUCACCUCUCUUCAUAUAGGUAUUUAUGCAAAGUGAUCAAAUCUUCUGUUGAUCUUCCCACAGAGACAUGUUUUCCACACUUAGAUAAUUUGAAAGCGAUUUUAAGGACUUCUAGUAUUAAAGAAAUCUGUUUUAGAAAUGAAAAUAACACCCCAAAAUUUACAACAGCGAGUACUCCUUUUCUGUGUGCUGGAAGGCAGUUUGGGAUCAAAAUCCCAUGCAGACUACUGAGGUGAACAGAAACCUCUGGAGACAAAAAUCAGAAGUGUAAAGUAAACUGAUGGGAAAAGCAGCAAGUGGAGGCUGGCAGAACUACUUCUCCCUCUGACAAAGAAGAAUUACAGAGAGCUGAGAACAUGGCAUUUGAGGGGACAGCUCUUCCACAAAGUAGAAAGGAUCUCCAGUUCUCCAUUGAAUAACUUGUUCUCCACAAGAGCAUCACGAAUACUAGAGCAAGCAAGGAAAAAAGGAAAGGUCAUUCUACAGCUG